rnacentral:lncRNA from 1 species
AAAUAUUUAGACAGGGGUGGAGCCCAAUCAAAAUAAAUAAAUCCUCCCCUUAAAACUUAUUAAAAGUUGUAAGUCUUGAAAAAUAUUCAAAUCGAUUUUUUUGGCCUUGAGUAAUAUUAUUGUAAAAAAAUCAAGAUUUUAAGCCUUGUAUAUUAUAACAUAUCAUUUUGACCGUUUAUUUUUUUAAAAAAAUAAGUGCUCAUAGAUCUACAAGAUGUCUUUGAUAUUUUUAGCUUUAAAUUUUAUAUUUAAUGUAAUAAAUUGAUUAUAGAGCCAUCAUAUAUAUUUCAAUUUGCUUUUUGGGGGAAAAGUCGAGAUGAGCUUUAUUUUGUUUUCAUAAAGCCUAAGCCCUAUAAAAGCGGCAUCCUUUUAGAAAAGUCUAAAGGUUUUGUGUCCUUACUAGAGUAUAGUGUUCAUUCACUCCCUUCGAAUGACUCUUUUUAGAAGUAAUUUUAGGACCCUACGGGAAGUUACCUCUUGAACCUAGUGAUUAACCUAGAGACACAAGCCAAAUUGGAUGGAACCUCUUGGACCUAGUGAUUCACCUAGAGACAAGCGAAAUUGGAUGGAGGUUGUUUGACUUUUAGAUUCUGAAUGUUUAGAAAUUUAAAAUUUAUGUUCUUGAAAAAAAUACUCAAUCUUACGAAGGCCAAACUUUUAAAUUGACAUAAUACUAUUAUAAGGGAUUGUCUAUAAAGAGACCAAUUACCCUUUGUGUACGGAGGUCAUAACUAUUCACACUCAUUAGAUGCCAAAUUGGAUGGCUUGGGUUAGUCACGAAGUCUAAAAAUAUUUUUCUUUGGAAUUUUGUGUCUAAUCAAUGACACCCUUACAACUACCCAUUUUGACAUCUAAAAGAAAAAUAAUAAUUGUGACCUCUUUGUAUAAAAAAUAAGGGAAAUGUUUACAUAGAGCCGAGGCUCUAAACAAUCAAAUUCGAGCCUACCUCAAAAAUUUCACUUGACGAGGUUCUCAAAUUGAUCAUCUCAACAUCAAGAUGCAUGAACAGGAGAAAAAAAACGAAUUUCAAAUUUUGGAAUUGAGUAUUUUGUAACGCAUUUUUGGACGGUCAUUUUUCAAGAUUUUGAAGUUUUCAUAGAUCUCUCAAUUUACACUAUUUUUGAAGCUUUAAACUUUAUAAAUAAAAAUGAAAAUAUAUUUUAAGGCUAUCAAAAAGAUUUUCAGUAUUGAAGACAUAUUUUUUGACAUUAUUUGAAGGUAGGCUCUAAUUUGAUUGUUUAGAGCUUAGGCUCUAUACAACAGCACGCAAAAAAAUAAAUGGCCUCUUUAUAGAUAAUCCCACACUAUGAAGCGAAUCUCCAUAAUAAAGUGAAUAUACAAUAUGCUCCCAUGGGAACUUGCUAUUGGGGCUCCAUAAUCUGUUUCCUUGGAGAGAA